AGUCUGUACUGAUCCUGGGACUACAGCGUACCCGCACUAGAAGACCGCAUGUGUGAAAUCCUGAACCAGCGUCCAAAGCCUGUGGGAGAUGAGGUGGCUCGCAGAACCUUCCAGAAAUGCCAUGUUGGAAACAGUUCCUCUUUAGCGUCCUGUUCCCUUCUUGUAACAUCUGGUGCUGCUGAAGUCCACCUGAGAUACCUAAGAGUCAGACAUUGGCCUGUUUCCAGGCUGCUGACUUCUUCAUAUCCAGAAACAAACAUAAAGAUAAACCAGGAAAAUUAUCACCAAGCCACUGCUCAUUGAGUCCUUAGCCGCCUCCAUUCUCCACUAUCUUGGUGCCACUAAACUGUCCAUCUGCACUAAACUGCCUACUUAGUGACCAUAUGGACUGUGCUUCGUUUGAUACUGAAUCUUCAGAGCCUGCAGUAAUGUCUGGCAGACGAUUGUCACUCCAUAAAUGCAUUUGGAAAAGCACACACGCAUGCUUACCUAAUUAAAAUCUUCAUGAGCAUGACGGUAACUUUCAUAAGAAGGUUCCCACUCGGUUUAUCAUUUGAGACCAUGUAACCAGGAUUGUUAACCUCUGGAAAUGAAGUUCUCACAGAUAUUCCUUCAGUAAAAGAAUCUUAGGUAACCUCCUACCAGCCUUCCUGUCCACCCACCAGAAAAUACAUCCAUCCCACUAAGAUGGUACAAGCAUGGGUCCUAGCUUUGUUAUGUCUUGGCUUCCACAACCUUUUCUCUAACUACCUUAGCCUGCCAUCCACAGUCUGCACGUAGUCACCUUUGAUAUAGACUGCCCUGUGUUAUUUCUUUCUAAGCAUGUCAUUGCUGUCAGGAUUUCCACACCUACAUAUCCCAAGGGAAUAGGGACAGGAUUUUACCUUUAAUACAUGUUAUAAUGAUUUUCAUGUACUAGACCUUCAGUGAACACUUUUUUUUGGAGAAAAAGAAAAUUUAAAUAAAGAGUGUUUGGGAAGGA
rnacentral:lncRNA from 1 species